CCUUUCCUUAGAGAAAAAAACAAACACGCAGUCGUGAAUGUGGCAAUAGUUUAUUCCCUUAUGGUAACUCCUCAACAAGCUCCAGGUUGUGUCGCCCGCACCACAGCUCCAGCCGCUCCACUUCCUGUUGAUACACAGACACGUCACCGUCUUUGAUGAGGCCAAUGACUGUUGUGUUGUCUGCAAACUUCAGGAGUUUGACAGCCGGUUGCAUUGAGAUGCAGUCGUUCGUGUAGAGAGAGAAGAGCAGCGGAGAGAGGGCACAACCUUGGGGAACCCCGGUGCUGGUGGAAGCGUCCUUUUCAAAUCUGCAGUAGAAGGUGUUCAAGUCGUCGGCGAGUCCUUUAUUAUUCUCAGCUUGAGGGGAUGGUCGGUUGUAAUUGUUUAGCGAUAUUAAUGCAUGCCAGAUUGAUUUAGAGUCAUUAGCGGUAAAUUGUUUUUUUAACUUUACCGCCUAAUUUCUCUUCCAUCCAUCCAUUUUCUGAGCCGCUUCUCCUCACUAGGGUCGCGGGCGUGCUGGAGCCUAUCCCAGCUGUCAUCGGGCAGGAGGCGGGUUAGACCCUGAACUAGUUGCCAGCCAAUCGCAGGGCACAUAGAAACAAACAACCAUUCGCACUCACAGUCAUGCCUAUGGGCAAUUUAGAGUCUCCAAUUAAUGCAUGUUUUUGGGAUGUGGGAGGAAACCGGCGUGCCCUGAGAAAACCCACGCAGGCACGGAGAGAACAUGCAAACUCUACACAGGCGGGGCUGGGGAUUGAACCCGGGUCCUCAGAACCGUGAGGCUGACGCUCUAACCAGUCGUCCACCGUGCCGCCCUAAUUUCUCUUUGUGUUGUUAAUUUCUUUAGUCAGCUGGUUUUUAGUGCAAUUACACAGGGCUCUAUCCCCACUUCGAUACCUGUCCUCUUUAGCCUGGUAAGUUGCUUAAGUUUGGCAGUGAACCACGGCUUGUUGUUAUUGAAAUGACUUUGUUGGUACACAUACCUCUUCAUAGAAAUUGAUAUAAUGUAACAGUGUCUGUAUAUUCAUCCAGGUUUCCAGUGGAAUUUUCAAAGAGACUCCAGUCUGUGCAGUCUAAACAGCUUUGAAGUUAAUUAAUCAGUGAUCAGACGAGCCCAGAGCUGCACAAGGUAUAGCACGGUAUGCGUUAUUUAGCGUAGUAUAGCAGUGGUCUAAAAAUUUCUCUGGUAGGACAGUUGAUGUGCUGCUUGUAUUUAGGGAGUUCGUGGUUGAGUUUAGCUUUGUUAAAGUCCCAAAGAAUAAUGAGACGUGACUCUGGGUGCAUUUUUUCAAUUUCGUUCACUUGUUCAGUGAGCGUUAGCAGUGCGGUGUAUGUGUUAGCUUGAGGAGGAAUGUAAACAUCAGCAAGGAUGAAAGAUGCAAAUGCACCCAGCGAGUAGAAUGACUUACAGUUCAAAAACAGCGACUCCAAGUCCGGGCUGCAGUGUGUGCUGAGCUCCAUGAUGUUGGUACACCACUUUUCGUUCAAAUAGAAGCAUAUCCCGUCGCCGUUUGUUUUCCCCGAUAACUCCGUGACGGGGUAUGCCUCGUGAAGUUGGAAGCCCGGAAGCAUUACGGCCCCAUCGGGGACGCGUUCACCAAACCAUGUCUCCAUAAAGCACAGGGGGGUGGAACGUCUGGAGUCUGUACUGGCCUUUGUCAGAAGAUGAAGCUCGUCCAUUUUGUUGGAGCUUCACUUGGAUGCCCGUGUGCUUCCCCAUUCGUCGCCUUCGCCUUCAUACGCCGUACGCCGCGGCCGCCACACCGUUAUCUGGGCAGCCGUGGCCCAAUGGUUAAGGUCAUCGCCUGCCACCGUGGGGGACCAAGGUUCAAAACCCCGACUGGACCAUCCGCCAACAUCCCCCGGACUCACGGCUGUGGUGUCCUUGAGCAAGACACUGAUACCCCGAAAUGCUCCCCGGGCGCUUCAGCUGCCCCCUGCUCCAGUGUGUUCCACUAACAUGUGUAUGUGUUCACUGUGAUGGGUUAAAUGCAGAGAACAAAUUUCAUGUGCAUGCAUGCAUGCAUGUUCAUGACAAUAAAAGAUGAUUCUUCUUCUUCAUUUUAAGAUAGCCUACAAAUAUUUACAACAAAAAAUUUUGUAUAUUAAUAUUUAUCACCAAAUAAAAAGUGUGAAUUUGAGAACAUUCUCAUAUCUCCUUAACUUGACAAAGU